AAGGCCUUCGUGGUCCGGAAGCGAACAGCCGAAGACUCCUCAAAAAAAAUGCAGUGAAGCCGCCCCCUCCCAUCCCCUCCCCUGCCUCGCGUCUCUCUCGCUGUCUCGCACGAUCUGUGCCCCAUCAUGCACCGCCGAAAUUUCAGUUGCGGGAAGGGAGGAGAGUAUACAAUUUCGGCGGCGCCGCCGGCGCGCAUCUGGUUAUCCCUGUCGCUGACCCCUUACUUAUGCUCUCGCAGAUAGGACGGGGUGAGGCACAUGCGACCAGGGCUCUCUCCUCCUUGACGAGACCUCCUCCCCGAUCUCUCCUUCUCUCUACCGACCGGAGAACAUGUGGUGCGCCGCCGCCGUCGCGGUGCUUAAGCCGGGGAGUUCCACGUCUUCCCACCCCUUCAUGGCCCAGAUUCCUUGUGUCGCCACGAUGACCACCACCUCCGGGUCUUCAUGCCACAGACAAGCUGGGCGGUGCCCCUCGUAGCCCCCCUUGGACUGUUGGAUCCAUCACCUCGAAUCCGCUUCACCACCACAUCACUGUUGGAUUUGAGGAGGAUGGCUUCUUGACGCUCUAAUAGGAAGUUAUGCCCUUUCAAGAUGAAAAGGAUACUCGGAAGGCUCGUGCAUUUUGAUCUAGAGAACAAUGCCAUACAAGAUGAAAAGCAAAAUCAAGGACCCUUCCACGAGUGCCAUAGAUCAGGUAAGGAAGCAAAAUUAAAAGUUGAUGCCAAGAGGUUCAAGAUGGAUCAUGGUGAGAAUAACGUGGCCUCUAUGAAGCCAAAGGUGGAUAGAGGACGGGGAUCAUGAAAAUGUAGCGAACCUUUUGCAUAGGGAACUAGUAAUAUUCUAAGCAUAUGGUCAAUCAUGAUCCAGACCAAGAUACUACUUUUUAGUAUCUUGACUUUUACCUUCGAUUUGUGACCGGAUUUGAGAGGCUUCGAUAGUUGCCGCCGGUAUGAUAGAAGAUUCACAUAGAGGGCGAGCAAAUGAGGGCGACACUGUGUCUCUGCUUUGCCCAAGCCAGGAGGUCGAGCGCACGCUUUCCUCGGUUUCAAAUCAAGGGACAAAGAUAGAUCCUUGGUAACGGCAAAGGGGGUAGCCUUGCUUUUGUGCCGGUGUUUCUAUUUCAGUGCGCCUCUGUUAGGUAACUUCAAUAAGCUUGUUAGCUUCUGUUGGAUCCUUAGCUAAUUACAUUUGUCAUGGAUUUAUUAGUGUACUUGUACAACUUGGGUCAUGAGUAGUACUGGUCGAUUUUUGGUUCUCUAUGUUGUUGACAUGGCAUGUUUGUUCAUAUGUUUUAACGCUUUUAUGCAGAUUAGAGCCUAAAUAAUAUGGUUGGAAGUGCUUAUUAUGUUAGCACUUUAUUAUGUUGCUCCUAAAUUUCCGCAUAGAUGCUAUCAUAGAAGCUAAUGCCUGGAGCAUAUAUGUUACUGUACAUAUCCCCCUUUGUGGCAGCAUCGUUUUUUGCGCACAUGCGGAAUCUGGCACCAUAAGGAAUAACAUUGUCCUUCUCUGACAGAGGCAGUGGAUUUUGUUAAGUGCUUUCUAUAAAAAGAUUCACAUAGAAGGAUGCCUGCAGCACAAGCUUGAAAUGAGUUUCAAUCUGUCUAUAUGGAUCUACCUUAAACUAAUGUCGUUAUUAGUAUCCCAUAAGUUCUCUAGGUCACCCAUGGAUCAGAAAUACAAUUACUUUAAAAUGACAUUGGUUAUAUUCUGUCUUAUCAAAGCUUAAACUCCUUCAUCAUCAGUACGUAAAGAUGCUUUGAUGGUCUGCAAUGAUGAAAUUUGUUCUAAUUUUUCUUCUGUUGUUCCACGGAGAAGAUAUAUGACGCUGCUUCUUCAAGUUUGACCUUGCAUCCUUCUAUGUGACAAUUUUUUUAUGGUUGUUCCAUAACCUCCCUGUUUUCAUAAAUGAUUAAUUAGUUUCAUUUCCAUGUGUCUCAUAGAACAUCUUGAUCAAAAUUACUAUAUAUGCUUACAAUCUUCAUAAGUAUUUAUUUGGGAGCCUAUGUUUUUGUACUUCUGAUUUUAAGUACCAACAUAGAAUGCUUAGACAGCUCUCAAACUGUAAUCUAUUUUGGAAUAAAUUUAUUUGCACUUAAAAGUGGCACCCUUAAAUGUUUCUUUUGACACACGUGAGUGAUCACUUUAAUUUUUAUUAUCUACAAAUUCCAGCUAUUGAUGUAUGAUAUUUCUUUAUAGGCUUUGUUGACCUAGACUGUUGAUGAGCCUUUUUUAUCUGAGAAUGCAGUAUUCUUCAUUGGAGCUUGAUAGAAAUGGAUGUAUAUUUGCUGCAUUGAGACCGUGUAUCCAUAGGUCAACAAGGGAUCUGCGUAGACAAGCCCUGUGGAGCUGACCUUCUACACAACACGACACUCAUCAUAUCUUCCGUUUUCCUUUUCUUCCUCUGUUAUUUCGACAUCUUUGUUCUUUCCUUUUUUUCUUGUUAUUCAUCGUAUAGGUCAAUUGCUUAGGCCUUUUGAGUUUUCGUGACUGGCAUCUUUCCAUUGACGGUGAUCCGAGUGAAAUCUGUAAUUAGCAUCUUUCUAGAGCAUUGUAGACAAUCAUG
rnacentral:rRNA from 1 species